AUAAACACUUUGUCAUUAAAAAUCCCUCUCUGAUAACAAAGGUCGUUUUCCCAAGGUGAGACAUAUCCAUUGCACUCUGGAUGUGCUGACCCAUGAUUUCCCCAAAUGUGGAACACUCGAUUGCCUAAUUUGUGGUAGCGGGGGACUGCAUUAAAGCUUUCCCCUG
rnacentral:snRNA from 1 species